rnacentral:rRNA from 1 species
GGCAACGGGUGAGUAUAAUGUGGGAAUCUGCCUUUUGGUUUGGAAUAACACGGGGAAACUUGUGCUAAUACCGAAUAAGCCCUUACGGGGAAAGUUUUAAUGCCGAAAGAUGAGCCUGCACUUGAUUAGCUAGUUGGUAAGGUAAAAGCUUACCAAGGCAACGAUCAAUAGCUGUUCUUAGAGGAAGACCAGCCACAUUGGGACUGAGACACGGCCCAGACUCCUACGGGAGGCAGCAGUGGGGAAUCUUGCACAAUGGGGGAAACCCUGAUGCAGCGAUGCCGCGUGAGUGAAGAAGGCCUUUGGGUUGUAAAACUCUUUCGUCGGGGAAGAAAAUGACUGUACCCGAAUAAGAAGGUCCGGCUAACUUCGUGCCAGCAGCCGCGGUAAUACGAAGGGACCUAGCGUAGUUCGGAAUUACUGGGCUUAAAGAGCUAGUAGGUGGUUAAAAAAGUUGAUGGUGAAAUCCCAAGGCUCAACCUUGGAACUGCCAUCAAAACUUUUUAGCUAGAGUGUGAUAGAGGUAAGUGGAAUUUCUAGUGUAGAGGUGAAAU